CUAAUCAUCGAUUUCAUUUAUCCAGUUCAAUUUUCCAUUUUUUGUCAUGGCCGCCGAAAGACACGACUGUGUUAAUGACAUCACUCUUGCAAAGGAAUCAUGGGACAUUGUUGUUUGUGUCGUUCGUUUACGGUUUGUGUCUAUAUGAAUUCCAAACAAAAAUUUCAUGCGAUGGAAAUGGUUUUGAUGGAUGAAAAAGUUGUUGUUGUUGUUGGAAAUCCACAAAAUAUCUAUGCCCAU